UUAAUGUAAAGCGAUUUCAGACACCCCUAUUGUGGACUGUACCAUUUUUAACCACCGUGGCGGCUAGAAGCAAUGGAGAUAGAGAACGGUUUGCUGCUGACGUGCAUGGAUAAAUCUCAUGUCACGUCUUCAUACAUUGAAUUACCGGCUACUUACCUGUAGGGAUGGGACGAUUACCGGUUUCACUAUAAACCACUAUAAAAUGUACUGACGGUCUCAGUUUAUGAUAUCGUCUGAUCUCAGCCAGAACCUGAUCAUGCAGUGACUGCUGCUGCUGAGGAGGAGGAGGAGGCAGACUGCGUUCAGACACCUGCAGAUGGCAAUACAAACUUACAAUGCAGGAAAAGAACAAGGCUGAAGAUCAUCGCUGUAAUCCCGUCCACCAGAGGGAGCCCUCACCUGAAUUCUGAACAAUGUCACUUCCUGUUUCCUGCCACGUCACUUCCUGUUUGUCAUGUAUAUAAGCAGUGCUUUCACACACCCAUAUUGUGAAGUAUUGCCAGUUCAUCUGCUUUACCAAGCGUUUUCCAUUGCCCAAUGUUUAUGUCUCAUGUUAUGAACUUUUUGCCUGUUUAUCUGGAUUAUGUUUUUUGGAUCAUUGUUUUGCUUUGUCGCCUGUUUGGACUGCCUGCCUGUUAUUUCGACUUCGUCUCUCUUCUCAGUACUUUGGAUUGUUUGACUGUUUAUUGUCGUUGACAAUAAAGAACCUCUGCAACAUGGAUUCUAACCAGCCUCCAGUAAUGGGUUUGUUACAGAAUAUUUCACCUAACCAGAAUCCAGCGGAGGUUACACAGCUCAGACCCAUGAUCGCUUAUCAAAAUGAUGUACUACAGGGAUUUCAAGAACAACUUGUGAAUCUCCGAGCCGCUAACGAACAUUUGACAUGAUAUAUCGCCCUAACACGGUAAGACUGGCACUGCCAGAAAAGUUUGAUGGAUCAGCUGACAAAUGCAAGGGAUUUCUGAGGAAAUGUUCAGUUUAUUUCACUCACCAACCUGACUCCUUUAAUCAGGAUACAGCUAAAUGUGCUUUAAUGAUGACUUUGCUUACUGGAAAAGCAUUGGAGUGGGCUUCAGCUGUUUGGGAUAGUGAUGAACAAAUUUGCAGUUCUUUCACAUAUUUCUCACAACAAAUAAAGGAUGUUUUUGAAUACCCUGCAGGGGGAAGAGACAUUUCUGUGCAGUUAUUGCAUCUACACUAGGGGAAAUUAUGUGCAGCCAAUUAUGCAGUGCAAUUUCAUAGUGGUUGGAAAGAUAUUGCUCUGAAAUCCUACAAUAUCUUGCUCUGAGAAGGUUUAAACCCCACACUGCAAGCUGAGCUAGCAUGCAAGGAUGUUUCAUUGACUUUGACUGAGUACAUUACCUUGGCAGUAAAAAUCGAUAAUCUCAUGCGCAAUCAGCCACGAUCCAGUGCACCCAAGCAUUUCUCUACUACUGCCUCAUCUCACCGAGGACGAACGCCAGCGCGGGCGAAAUGAGGGGUUAUGUUUCUACUGUGGUCAGCCAGGACAUCGUUGUAACACAUGCCCACAUAGAUCCGGUGCAUCAGUUGGAACUUUUUGCCUGUUUAUCUGGAUUAUGUCUUUUGGAUCAUUGUUUUGCUUUGUCGCCUGUUUGGACUGCCUGCCUGUUAUUUCGACUUCGUCUCUCUGCUCAGUACUUUGGAUUGUUUGACUGUUUAUUGACUGUUCUACAAGGGUGAGCAUCACACCCGAUUCUGUUUCUAGUCAGAAUUUUACUAUUCCUGUAACCAUUUUUGUUGAAAACAACCAAUCAUGUGUUACAGCGCUAGUGGAUUCAGUAGCUGCACUGAACAUCAUUCAACAUCGACUAGUUACCAAUUUCAAUAUUCCCACGAUACCAUGUAUUCCUCCCAUCCAAAUCACUGCAGUAGAUAAUGCACCCAUAGGCACAGAUAACCCAUAAAACUAUCCCUAUUAGGACUUUUCCACGUCGAGACCAUAACCCUCUAUGUCAUCACCUCUCCUCACCACCCCAUUAUACUAGGAUACCCAUGGCUAUCACUCCAUGAUCCAUUGAUCUCCUGGAGAAAAGGGGAAUUGCUGCAUUGGUCACCAUUCUGUGAAGAGCAUUGUCUGACCACUAAGUUAAUAGUACCAUGCCUGGCCACGAGAGUGGAGAGCCCCCAGUCUAACGUCCACCCUCACAUCCCCAAGGAAUAUUCUGAAUUCAUAGAGGUAUUUAGCAAAGACCAAUUGCCACCCCACAGACCUUGGGACUAUGCCAUAGACUUGCUACCCAGUUCAUCUCCCCUAGAGGCAAGGCUUAUCCUCCAUCACUCCCUGAAACACAGGCAAUGGAGGAUUACAUAGAGGAGGCAUUAGCAUCAUGCUUCAUCCGUCCCUCUAAGUAACCAGCCGCAAGAAAGAUGGUGGUGUAGAGUAUGAACGGAAAAUCAUGAACUCAUUAAUUCUGAAUGCAAUGCACACAUUUUUACUAAGGGUCCUAAAAACCCACACUCUGAUCCUCCCCAUCUAAAUCACCGGGUAGUGCCAGCGAGUCUGGGAGUUAGAAUGCUUUCUUGACGUUUUUACAACCCAAAGAGCCUCUCCAGAGAUCCUCUGAUAUCGCCAUCCACAUCCCCCUCCUUAGAUGAGAAAGGAAUGUGAGAGGUUGAAAGACACAGAUGCGUUCUACCAUUUAAAACCCAGAAAUGGCUUAAUUUUAAGGAAAUAUGUUUUAUUCCCGUAUGCUUGGGUAUUUCUGCUGUUAUAUCAAACUAGUUAAGAUUGUUUAGUUGUGUAGUUAAACUCUGAGGGCUUAUAUAAAGAGUCUAAGAGUAUAUAUUCACUUUUAAGUGUACCAAAUACAAGUUUCUUGGUAUCAAAUUAAACCUUACGACUCGCCCUAGCUGAAUAUAUAUAUAAGGUUACAUUAAAAUGUAUUCUGCUAUGUUUUACCAUCUGUUGAGUGAUUGAAACCACAUCCGGACCCUGUUGUAAAUUAGGCAAAUGACGAGCUUGACAAGACAAAGGGAACCAUCUCACGCCAAAACUGAGGUGCCUCAUUGGGUCAUUCUUCCCAAAGGAGGUGUGACCUCCCUACCUUAAAAGUCAGGAUCUGGUGUUGAAUCGCUCUCUUGUCUCUCUUAUCCGGUUGCUCUCUUGCUUUCUUACUCCCAUACUCUUCUGAACCUCUUCAAGUGUUCUUCAACUUCUCUUCAAGCUCUCUCGUUUUUCUUUCUUUGUCUUUUAUUUUAUUUGGCGUUUAUCUCAGUCUUUUCCUUGUCUUCAGACAAAACUCAGCUCCCUCAGUCAACAACUACUCUUUAAGACGUUUUGAACUUCCCGCGAGCGAUCCACUCUCAGGAAGCACCAAGAGAAGGCCUCCAUCUCACAGACGCAAGGAGGACACAAUAAACACGCAGUCUUGUUCAGCGACACAAAGGUCCAUUGUGCAAGUAUUAUUUCAUCUAAAUUCAAAUGCGUUAAAGUGUGUAAUUCCCGUGCUGGCUCUUAAGGUUUAACUUUUGUAACAAGUUUGCUAUCCCUGUAAUCUCUUUAUUUUCCUUCCUGUUUUACUUUGUUUGUUCUAUGUUAAAUGUUUGUUGUUAAAUGUGUUCUACGUUUGUUAAGUUUGUGAUAUAUCCUAGUUCCUUGUA